CAUCUAAAACCAUGUGCGGUCGCGGCCUCCGGGUGAAAGCCUGGGUGGUUUCGCGCCGCAUUCCUGCACCCUUUUUUUACGAGCACCUUUGUUCUCCUUCGGCGGGGCAACCUGCCGCUGGAACUUAAUAAAACCUUUUUUGCAUCUAGCAUUACCUGUUCUGAUACAAAUAAUCGUUACAACUUUCAACAAUGGAUCUCUUGGCUCU
rnacentral:misc_RNA from 1 species